CUCACUAGGCCGCGGCGGCGGCGGAAUACGCCCGGAUCUACGGCGGCGUUCUGCCGAAAAUGAGUAUCUGGCUCUGGGUUUGGUGAAGCUCCGGCAGGCUCUUCCGGAGGCAAUCUUCCGUUGAUCUUUGACCGCCGUGGCGCGGCGGCGGUAGUGGUGGUGAUAUUGGCGGACCGGCUCAAUCUCUUUCAUUUUUUCCUCUUCCUGAGGUAUGAAGCUUGAUUUUGGCGAGUGGGUGGAUGACGGCUGCGGACACGGCGGCGGAGGUCCAACCGGCGAACUGUUGUAUUACCAAUUUUAAAAUUAGAAAUAAAUAAAUUGUGAGUUUUUAUUUUAUUUUUUUAAAAUUUUGGUUUGGGGCACUGUUCUGUCGCUCUGUCUUGCAAUUAAUAUAAGCUCUUGGGAACGGUGGCUCUACAGUAUGUCAGUAUAAAAACCCUCUUUUUUAUAUA